rfam:Oryza rufipogon genomic scaffold, chr01
AAUAGAUGGCGUCGUUGAUUUUUUCUCACAUGUUUGACCAUUCGUCUUAUUAAAAAAAUUUAUGUAAUUAUAAUUUAUUUUGUUAUGAGUUGUUUUAUCACCCAUAGUAUUUUAAGUGUGAUUUAUAUCUUAUAUAUUUGCAUAAAAUUUUUAAAUAAGACGAAUAAUUAAACAUGUGAGAAAAAAUCAACGGCGUCGUCACUUAGA